rnacentral:rRNA from 1 species
GAUGAACGCUGGCGGCGUGCCUAAUACAUGCAAGUCGAGCGAACGGACGAGAAGCUUGCUUCUCUGAUGUUAGCGGCGGACGGGUGAGUAACACGUGGAUAACCUACCUAUAAGACUGGGAUAACUUCGGGAAACCGUAGCUAAUACCGGAUAAUAUUUUGAACCGCAUGGUUCAAAAGUGAAAGACGGUCUUGCUGUCACUUAUAGAUGGAUCCGCGCUGCAUUAGCUAGUUGGUAAGGUAACGGCUUACCAAGGCAACGAUGCAUAGCCGACCUGAGAGGGUGAUCGGCCACACUGGAACUGAGACACGCACCAGACUCCUACGGGAGGCACCAGUAGGGAACCUUCCGCAAUAGGCGAAAGCCUGACGGAGCAACGCCGCGUGAGUGAUGAAGGUCUUCGGAUCGUAAAACUCUGUUAUUAGGGAAGAACAUAUGUGUAAGUAACUGUGCACAUCUUGACGGUACCUAAUCAGAAAGCCACGGCUAACUACGUG